rnacentral:lncRNA from 1 species
UAUGUUCCCAAUUCACGCCUGGUUGGUCACCUAUUAUAUGCCCAGUAACUGGUAUCCCUGGUGUUCCUUCCUUCUGCUCCCUAUUAUGACAUUUUUCAGCCCUCCCUUCGGAUGAUGAGUGUCUUGGAUAUGUUCCCAAUUCACGCCUGGUUGGUCACCUAUUAUAUGCCCAGUAACUGGUAUCCCUGGUGUUCCUUCCUUCUGCUCCCUAUUAUGACAUUUUGUCCCUUGUGGAGUCAGAUUUUCUUGAGUUGAGAUGUGCCUUUUGGGUCCUCCUUAGAUGUUUCGGAUGAUUGAUAUCUUUCACCCUUAUACCGGUCUUAGAUAUUCUUUCUCUUUG